UACGGGGGGGGCAAGCGUUGUUCGGAAUUACUGGGCGUAAAGGGCGCGUAGGCGGCCAACUAAGUCAGACGUGAAAUCCCUCAGCUUAACUGGGGAACUGCGUCUGAUACUGGAUGGCUUGAGUUUGGGAGAGGGAUGCGGAAUUCCAGGUGUAGCGGUGAAAUGCGUAGAUAUCUGGAGGAACACCGGUGGCGAAGGCGGCAUCCUGGACCAACACUGACACUGAGGAGCGAAAGCCAGGGGAGCAAACGGG
rnacentral:rRNA from 1 species